rnacentral:rRNA from 1 species
CCUACGGGAGGCAGCAGUGGGGAAUUUUGGACAAUGGGCGAAAGCCUGAUCCAGCCAUUCCGCGUGAGUGAAGAAGGCCUUCGGGUUGUAAAGCUCUUUCGCAAGGGAAGAAAACUUAGAUACUAAUAUUAUCUGAGGUUGACGGUACCUUGAUAAGAAGCACCGGCUAACUACGUGCCAGCAGCCGCGGUAAUACGUAGGGUGCGAGCGUUAAUCGGAAUUACUGGGCGUAAAGCGUGCGCAGGCGGUUUUGUAAGUCAGAUGUGAAAUCCCCGAGCUCAACUUGGGAACUGCGUUUGAAACUACAAGACUAGAAUAUGUCAGAGGGGGGUAGAAUUCCACGUGUAGCAGUGAAAUGCGUAGAGAUGUGGAGGAAUACCAAUGGCGAAGGCAGCCCCCUGGGAUAAUAUUGACGCUCAUGCACGAAAGCGUGGGGAGCAAACAGGAUUAGAUACCCCUGGUAGUCCACGCCCUAAACGAUGUCUACUAGUUGUUGGUGGAGUAAAUCCAUGAGUAACCGNAGCUAACGCGUGAAGUAGACCCGCGUGGGGAAGUACCGGUCGCAAGAUUAAAACUUAAUAGUAAGUAGUAGACGUGAGAGUAGACGACGGACGACGACGAGGGAGGAGG